UAUGCACACUAGUAAAGAGGAACGCGAACCCUAACAAAUUCGAAACUCACGAAAAUUUGAACAAUUGAUUCACCAAUUUCAAACCCGUUUUUUCUUACUCUGAAAUCCUAAACUCUUCUCAAUCGAUUCAUCUGCGAAUCAUUUUGUUGUUAGAACUUGCCGUCAAUCGCAAGCCCUUCAAAUCGCAAACAGUUCCUUCAUAAAUUGCAAAACCUUUGGCAAUCGAUUAUCUUUUUCGAGUGUUUGAGUCUCAAGGUGUUGAUAUUUGGUGCAAUGGCAGCCAAAUGGUUUAUUCCGUUAGUUUAUCUGAGUUACCUAUUGAAUUUCAUCCUCAAUCAUGUAUUUGGUGUUGAUUCCUUGUUUACUGACUACCAUUUUAUUUGAUUUUUCAGAAUACUGAAAGGUUUUUAAUUGUUGAUUCUGGUCUGGGUCUAUUUUCACCGCAUGAAGUUUUAGUUCAAGUUUUUGAAUAUAUAGAGCCAUGAGUUUUGUUUUUCGAGGAGCAAGAGGUGACAUAGAAAAUGGGUUUCCAGGAUUUAUACCUGAGAGGCGUGCAUUGCGUGUUCAUGCAACACGACCUAGUAAUUCCAACUCACUCACUUUUCUCGUAACAGGUAUGUUCUCAUAUUAAGUUUAAUUUAUAAUUUGUUGUAUAGAUAAGUUCCAUUUUGUAUCUUCUCCAAUGUUCCAUUCAAAACUUAAUCAGAAGAUAUUUCAGUUCUCCUGUUAUUCAUGAUAUGGGACUGGUCCACUUCUCCCUAUAUUUGUUUGUGUAUAUUUCUCACAUCUUAUAUGUAUUUAAUUAUAUAAGUUUAUUUCUAGAAUUUGAUUUUGAUAAUUACUUAUCUCUACAGUUCUAGAUUUCUACAAUUUCUUUAUAUGCAAUGGAGAUGCCAAUAUGUAAUUUAGAUGUGUCUGCAAUAUGUAAUUUGAUACAAAUAUUAUCUUAUUGGAUAAUGAUUGUAAGCCAACUUUUCUCUGACAGUUUGUAUUAUUCUCUCUUUGUAUCACUUUUUCUUCUUAUUUCUUUGUUGCAGAUAUAUGGUAUCAAAAUUGUAGUACAAAGCUACUUGCCAGUCAAAUAUGUUGUUGUUCGUCCUGGUAUUAAUUGUCUCUUGGUACUACAAAACAUAAAGUCAAGUUCACUUGAUAAGGCCCAUCUAAGGAUUGCUUCUACAAAGGCAAUUCUUCUCUUGGUAAGGCUUUGGAUUUAUAAGAUUCCUACUGAUAUUUUUCACUUUGAGGACAUCCGAGAUAGGACCAUCCUUUUUACUUUAAUUUCCAGUGCAUUUUUUAUUUGUUCAUCACAUUUUUCAAUUUGUUCAUCACAUUAUUAAGAAGCUAAGGUAACUCCCUUUUUCUUUUUCAGUUAAUUUAAUUUCUGUUGUUUUCAUGUCAGUGUCACCUCUAUACAUGUUCUAAUGUACGUGUUCUAGCAAGUCUCUUGGAUAAUAUCUAUAGUUUGACUUUUCAUUUCUUUUUUCUGUAGUGUACAACAAAGGAAUAUCAAUGUGAUGCUGGAGAUCUGAUCAACUGCAGAAUGAAUGUUUGGUGGGCUUUAGAUAUAAAGUAAGUGCUUAUUAUAAAGAGAUAUUUGUUCAAAAAGCAAAAAAAAAAAAAUGCAUGGAUUCUACUAAGUUUAUAUAAAGCAUACACAAUAAAAAGUGUUUUUUCAGUGAUUUCAGAAGCAAAAAUAUGCAUGGAUUCUACUAAGGUCUAAUUUUCUAUUAGUUAAUGAGGGCCACAAAUCUACUAAGGUCUGGUUUUUAUUAGUCAUUUUUCUGAAGCAGUUUAACAGUUUUAUUUUUCCCAUUUCCACUAAAAUAUAUUGAAUAUCAUUGAAGUUUAACUCCCUUUUUAUAUUAUAUUUUAUAGAAGCUAAAACCCUUAGAUGUUAGAUGUUAGACGUUCAUCCGAGUCUCCUUAUUGCAGAUAAUGGAUCAGCAAGAAAGACAAAUUAUAUUUUACUAUGAAUUAAUUACAUUGUGAACUUUCUAAUGUAUUGUUGGCAUAAUGAGACUUAUUAUUAUAAGAUUAGGAUUUGAUAUGUUUUUCUUUUGU